rnacentral:rRNA from 1 species
UACAGAGACUGCAAGCGUUAUUCGGAUUCACUGGGCGUAAAGCGUGCGCAGGCGGCUUUGCAAGACAGAUGUGAAAUCCCCGGGCUUAACCUGGGAACUGCAUUUGUGACUGCAUGGCUGGAGUGCGGCAGAGGGGGAUGGAAUUCCGCGUGUAGCAGUGAAAUGCGUAGAUAUGCGGAGGAACACCGAUGGCGAAGGCAAUCCCCUGGGCCUGCACUGACGCUCAUGCACGAAAGCGUGGGGAGCAAACAGG